UACAGAGACUGCAAGCGUUAUUCGGAUUCACUGGGCGUAAGGGGUGCGCAGGCGGCCAAGUGUGUGAGGCGUGAAAGCCCGGGGCUUAACCCCGGAAUUGCACCUCAAACUACUUGGCUAGAGCAUUGGAGAGGGUAGCAGAAUUCAUGGUGUAGCAGUGAAAUGCGUAGAGAUCUGGAGGAACACCGAUGGCGAAGGCAGCCCCCUGGGCUAACACUGACGCUCAUGCACGAAAGCGUGGGGAGCAAACAGG
rnacentral:rRNA from 1 species